rnacentral:rRNA from 1 species
AUUGAACGCUGGCGGCAUGCUUUACACAUGCAAGUCGAACGAGUGGCGAACGGGUGAGUAACGUAUCGGAACGUACCGAGUAAAGGGGGAUAACUGUUUGACAGGGCAGCUAAUACCGCAUAUUAUUCGCGCGGCCGAUGUAUGAUUAGCUGGUUGGUGGGGUAAAAGCUCACCAAGGCGACGAUCAGCAGCGGGUCUGAGAGGAUGAUCGGCAACACUGGAACUGGUACCCGGCCCAGACUCCUACGGGAGGCAGCAGUAGGGAAUUGUGGGCAAUGGGCGCAAGUCUGAGCCAGCCAUGCCGCGUGUCUGAAGAAGGCCUUCGGGUUGUAAAGGACUUUUGUCAGGGAAGCGGUACCUGAAGAAUAAGCACCGGCUAACUACGUGCCAGCAGCCGCGGUAAUAC